CAACUCAAACCCUUUAUCUAAGAUAUCUCCACCAUGACAAAUAUUCUUUUUCCGAAAUUGGAUCCCCUCCUACCUUUUUUGUCCUCCCUCCUUUAGAAAAAAAAAAUAGAUGAAUAACCCAGAUCAGAACAUAAUAGACAGUAUGAGAAAAAGAACUGGAGAGAAUCCAGAUCCAUAAUUUUCAUAUUUCUAACAUCUCGAAAUUAUUACAUAGGUUUUCUUUACAUAAAUCUCACAUCUAGCCACCAAUAUUGCGAGAGUUUGAGGUAACAAGCAAGUAUACCUCAUUGAGCAAUAGUCUCUCAACAGAGAUUUUCUCUGCUGAUGGAGGAGAAGAUGAGGUCACCAACAAGGAGGAGUCAUUACCAAAUGAUUUUGCCAAAGAAAGAAUCAUUGCUUAUGAAGAUGUUGCACCUAAAACAGGAGUGGAGUCCAAAGGCGAGUCAUCUUGUGGGGAUGGAAAUGGAAAGGCAAAAUGGGCAGAUCAUACUUUUGAUUUAAAUGAGCCUCCUCGGGAUGAAGAUGCUAAUGAGAUUUAAAUUUCCAUUAAUAUAUUUUUCUAGACCAUGUGGUAAGAGACAAUUAUAUUAACAUAUUUUCUUCGGAAGUGUAAACUUAAUUAUCAUCUCUUAAAGUACAUUUUGAGUUGUGUUA